rnacentral:piRNA from 1 species
UCUAGGGAAGGGACAGUUCAUGUAGA